AAUUUGGUUAAUGGGCGAACCCUGAACCUGCCAAUCCGGGUGUAGGAGGAAUACCAAAAGCGUUGUAAACUAAUAUUAUACAAGAAGAAACCUCAAUAAGUUUAUGGAGCUCACCCUAUCGUAAGAAUAAGCACCGGGUAACUCCAUGCCAGCAGCGGCGGUAAUACGGAGGCUGCACGCGUUUUCAUUAUUUAUUAGGUUUGAAGAGGGGGUAGGGUGAUGAUUAAGUCAGUGGUGUAAUCGUACAGCGUAAUUGUAGAACGGCCAGUGAUACUGGUCAUCUUGAAUUUAGUUGGGGUAGGGGGAUUGUGUAGUUUAGCGGUGAAAGAUUAGAUAUUACACAGAACUCGGAUUGGGAAGGGGCUUAUUAUGAUAUAAUUGACGGUGAGGCACAAAAGCGGGGGGAGCGAACAAAAUUAGAUACCUUGCUCGUUCACUACAA
rnacentral:rRNA from 1 species